GCCGACUCCGACUCCAACUCCGACGACGACGACGACACCGCCGAGCCCUCGAUCGAGCGCGUCUUCGACGACAAGCCGAUCCCCGGCUGGCGGGAGCAGCUGACGAUCCGCGCCUUUGCCGUGAGCCUCCUCCUUGGGGUUAUGUUCAGCGUCAUUGUGAUGAAGCUGAAUCUCACCACGGGGAUCAUCCCCUCGCUCAACGUCUCGGCGGGGCUACUCG
rnacentral:misc_RNA from 1 species